UGGGCCCGUUCACGGGCGGGCCCCGCACUCCCGGGGCGUCUCGUUCUCAUCGCGAGAGGAGGCGCACCCAGAGCGUAUACGCUGGGACCCGAAAGAUGGUGAACUAUGCCUGGUCAGGACGAAGUCAGGGGAAACCCUGAUGGAGGUCCGUAGCGAUUCUGACGUGCAAAUCGAUCGUCGGAACUGGGUAUAGGGGCGAAAGACUAAUCGAACCUUCUAGUAGCUGGUUCCCUCCGAAGUUUCCCUCAGGAUAGCUGGCGCUCGCCUUUGCGAGUCUCAUUCGGUAAAGCGAAUGAUUAGAGGCAUUGGGGUCGAAACGGCCUCAACCUAUUCUCAAACUUUAAAUGGGUGAGAUCUCCGGCUUGCUUAAAGCAUGAAGCCGCGAGAUAUCGGAUCACAGAGUGCCAAGUGGGCCACUUUUGGUAAGCAGAACUGGCGCUGUGGGAUGAACCAAACGCAGAGUUAAAGCGCCAAAAUCGACGCUUAUGGGAUACCAUGAAAGGCGUUGGUAA
rnacentral:rRNA from 1 species